UAAAAAACGAUGAACAGAAUAGUACGUUGGUUGGUUAAAGACAGAGAGCUUCGGUUGCUGAGAGCGAGGUAUGACUGAUGAAUGGAAUCACAUCUGUGAGUUAGUUUCCUGAAUUUAGUAGGGAGACUCGGGAAGCCCCGUUAACACGUUGAGUUUGAUGAACAAACUUGCUGAGUCUGUGCUUGUGAAAGUGCAGUAACGUUGAGGUGGAACCGCGGAUAUCGCCCUCGCA
rnacentral:ncRNA from 1 species